CUGAGAGCAGCCCCCUCACGGGAGCCUCCUGGGCGUCCCCAGUGACUUCUGCUGGGAGAAGAUUCAGAGCGUCUGUUAGGAAUGUUCAGCAGCAAAGAAUCUGAGGGAAGACGGGGUCUUGGCUAAAGGCGGGCAUUUGGUAAGAUGAUGUGGAGACCAAGGCCACAGAAAAGAGUCCCCCAUGUGGGCUUUUGAUAGUUAGUUGUUAGGGACAUCGUCUUGGCGAGCUGGGGUAGGUGGUGGCAGAGACGGAGACAGCAGGAUCUGCCCUGGAACAAGGUGGAAAGCCAUCAGCCAAGUUCUUUUCUCCACACAGCUGCAGAGUAUUGGUGAAGUACCUACUCUGUCCUUGUCCUUGGGGGAUGAGAUGGUCCUGCCUGUUCAUCCGUCUUCAGGUAACAUUUAGUGCCCUUGUUUUACAGGGCUGGUUUUGUAAAGUCC
rnacentral:lncRNA from 1 species